GACGAACGCUGGCGGCGUGCCUAAUACAUGCAAGUUGAGCGCUGAAGGUUGGUACUUGUACCAACUGGAUGAGCAGCGAACGGGUGAGUAACGCGUGGGGAAUCUGCCUUUGAGCGGGGGACAACAUUUGGAAACGAAUGCUAAUACCGCAUAAAAACUUUAAACACAAGUUUUAAGUUUGAAAGAUGCAAUUGCAUCACCCAAAGAUGAUCCCGCGUUGUAUUAGCUAGUUGGUGAGGUAAAGGCCCACCCAGGCGAUGAUACAUAGCCGACCUGAGAGGGUGGUCGGCCACAUUGGGACUGAGACACGGCCCAAACUCCUACGGGAGGCAGCAGUAGGGAAUCUUCGGCAAUGGACGAAAGUCUGACCGAGCAACGCCGCGUGAGUGAAGAAGGUUUUCGGAUCGUAAAACUCUGUUGGUAGAGAAGAACGUUGGUGAGAGUGGAAAGCUCAUCAAGUGACGUUAACUACCCAGAAAGGGACGGCUAACUACGUG
rnacentral:rRNA from 1 species